CAUUGUUUACCCGUGUUAACAGAAAACAGCAAGGAUAACACAGUGUCAAGCCUGCCAACACUGUCCAUCUUGAAGUCUCUCUUUGGGUACCAGACACUUUUGUAUAUAACUUAAAGAAGCAAGGCAAGUGAAUUAAACAAUGCCACUGAAUAUGAAGGAAAAUGAAGCGUUCCAAGGAAGCUGCUUACGUCUCUCACGCAAGGAUAACUUAAUUUCAGGCACAGGACAAUAGGCAGGAAAUAGAAAUGGGUUCAAAUGUCCCCACCUCGAGGCUGCUACCUCAAGCGUUUCUUACAUCAUGUCAAAGACAGUACCGUCUCUACCCCAGCUCUUUAGGAAGGCAAGACUUGAUCUCCUGGCUCAGGCACUACACCUUUGCCACAAGACAGAGGCUGAUGGAGAGCUCACCAAGGCCCUCCGUGCCUUCACUUCAAAGUGACUCUGAACAACUGUGAGACUGGACGUGUAAACUUCAAUGACUUCAUUUUGCGAAGGUUUAAAAGGUUCCUAAGGGCUGAUGCAGGCAGAUACUGGAAACCCGGUUAAAACAACUGGAUACCAGAUGGCGAAGGAGAGCGGUUUACCGGAAAGCCUUCCAGAAUAGCAGCUCAUUUACAAGAAGCAAUUACACAAACAGCCCUGAGAAUCCACCAUUCCAUAAAGAGUGGCCCAGGAUAGGAGUGGAGUGUGAGCUGUACACGUGUGCGCUCCACCUGCCGCUUGUCAGUGCUGUGAUUGGUCACCACUCCCUUUCUCUGACGCCUGGAGGGGUAGAGCUAAACUCUACAACAGAGAUGUGUUCUCUCUGGGUAUGACCCAGCUGCCUAGAGGAGUUCCCCAGGAGGAGAAAUGUAACAGUACAAAGUAACUAUGUAGCAGGCUUCACCAACAUCUGAGCCUGGGGAAUGUGCUGUACCAGGAGAAAUGUCUCUUUACAAUUUAAACCUGCAUCUGUUCCAGCUUUCAAUAUGAGGGUCGGCCUCCCGUACUCUGACCUCUAGGUUCACUCACUGUUACAUCUAGACGCUUGCACACAGGGAACACAGAACCGAAAAGUAAACUGCGAAGUCAUCACUGAGAAC
rnacentral:lncRNA from 1 species